rnacentral:rRNA from 1 species
UACGGAGGGUGCAAGCGUUAAUCGGAAUUACUGGGCGUAAAGCGUGCGUAGGUGGUUGAAUAAGUUAUCUGUGAAAUCCCCGGGCUCAACCUGGGCAGGUCAGAUGAUACUGUUUAACUCGAGUAUGGGAGAGGGUAGUGGAAUUUCCGGUGUAGCGGUGAAAUGCGUAGAGAUCGGAAGGAACACCAGUGGCGAAGGCGGCUACCUGGCCUAAUACUGACACUGAGGCACGAAAGCGUGGGGAGCGAACAGG